rnacentral:tRNA from 1 species
UGUGGUUCAGUGGUAGAGCACUUGCCUGACAGGCACAAGGCCCUGGGUUUGAGCCCCAGCA